AGUGAACGCUGGCGGUAGGCCUAACACAUGCCAGUCGAACGGCAGCACAGUAAGAGCUUGCUCUUACGGGUGGCGAGUGGCGGACGGGUGAGGAAUACAUCGGAAUCUACUUUUUCUUGGGGGAUAACGUAGGGAAACUUACGCUAAUACCGCAUACGACCUACGGGUGAAAGCAGGGGAUCUUCGGACCUUGCGCGAUUGAAUGAGCCGAUGUCGGAUUAGCUAGUUGGCGGGGUAAAGGCCCACCAAGGCGACGAUCCGUAGCUGGUCUGAGAGGAUGAUCAGCCACACUGGAACUGAGACACGGUCCAGACUCCUACGGGAGGCAGCAGUGGGGAAUAUUGGACAAUGGGCGCAAGCCUGAUCCAGCCAUACCGCGUGGGUGAAGAAGGCCUUCGGGUUGUAAAGCCCUUUUGUUGGGAAAGAAAAGCAGCAGGUUAAUACCCCGCUGUUCUGACGGUACCCAAAGAAUAAGCACCGGCUAACUUCGUG
rnacentral:rRNA from 1 species